rnacentral:rRNA from 1 species
GACGUAGGGGGCCAGCGUUGCUCGGAAUUACUGGGCGUAAAGGGUUCGUAGGCGGUGCGGUAAGUCGGGAGUGAAAUCUCUGGGCUCAACUCAGAGGCUGCUACCGAAACUGUCGUGCUUGAGUGCGGGAGAGGCCAGUGGAAUUGCAGGUGUAGCGGUGAAAUGCGUAGAUAUCUGCAGGAACACCCGUGGCGAAAGCGGCGCGCUGGACCACAACUGACGCUGAGGAACGAAAGCUAGGGGAGCAAACAGG